UGAAGGACUCCAGGAGCAUCUGAGUAGGAUAGUAGCUUUUGUGGAAAGUGCAGAGAGUUCAGAAAUUUCAAAGCAAAAAUGUCUGCUGAAAUAAUUCAAGCCACAGCAGUGAGCUGAUAAAAGGUAAACAACGACAAAACUAACAUUAUUCACAUUUCUAGCAACGAUAAGGUGACAACUAAGAUUGCAGCAAUUUCCACUUAUUUUCAGGAAUGGUGAUGUUUCAAUAAAAACUUUCAAUUUUA